CCUUCCUCCCACCACCCCUCUUCCAGACCCCAACUGACGGGGACCGCAGGGACCAGAGGCCACUAUCAGGCCCACGCAGCCGUUCGCCCCCUCCUGCUGACACUGGGCUCAGUGCCACACUCUCCUGUGGUCACCUGGACGUGGUGGCACCUGGACAUAGUGGCACAGGGCCACCCCUGGUGUCUGAGCCCCUCUCCAGCCGUGGCCGAGUGCCAGGGAGAACCUGGCUGCUGCGCGACCACAACGGCUACAGAGCACGUGGAGGGGGCUGUGCCGGAGCCACGGCCAGGCUCAGCCAAAGCCAGGAUGCAGCGGAGAUGGGGGACCUCUCUGCCCGAGCUGCCAGUGUGAGAUGGGACAGCAAGUGAAAGAUCCAGAGCACAGCCCUGACGGGAGAAACCCUGUCCUCGUGUCCAGUCGCAGCCCCCUGUGUGUUGGUAUGGAUGCUAUGGGCCAGGCUGUGGCACGCCAAUGGCAUCUGCUGCUGUGACAGACUGGAAUGGCGGUAUAAAUCUUGAUGCUUGUAAGGCUUUCGACAUCGUUUCAUAAAACAGGCUCCUAAGCAAGUUACAGAUCACAUUCUGCCAAAAGCUGCUAUAAAAUGAGCGCCGUUCCCAGCUCAGAUGGGGGCUGCCAGGCUGCGGCUACCAGCAGGUGAGAUAAAGGGAUGCAGGACUGGCUUUAAAACCUGCAGACAAAAUAUGAAGGCAGGGAGGAUGGGAAGCAUGUCGGAAGGCAGGCUCCUCACUGCAAGCCGCUCCUCCACGCCUCCGCUGCUGACACGUUAGAGAAACGGUCUCAGGGAUGAGGCUGCCGUGCGGUGCAGAUAAAGGCCGUUGGCACUUCAGCACAAAGAGGCAAUUGCAUAAACAAGAAAUGGGGAGAGAGGAGGAAGAGAUGAAUGUGGGGGGAAAGGAGCUGCGGCUCUGCGGAAUCACGCGGAACAGAGGAUGCGGGCGGCUGCUGGAGGCACGGGGAGCAGCGGGGGGAGGCAGCGAUGCCUGGACACUGCCCUUUGGGCUGCUUGGAGAGAGUCCAGAGGAGGAUGUCAGAGACCUGGAAAACAUGACCGGCAAGGAAAAACGGCGAGACGUGGGACUGCUUAAUUGGUAGGAGGGAGCAGAGGAGGCUGGAGCAGCCGUCUGCAGGAAUGCAAAUGACUCCUGCAAAGAGGAAAGGAUUAAUCUGCCCAUGCUGAAUAAAACAAGGGGAAACAGGCUUAAAUUACUGUGGAGAAAUUCAAGGCGGAUACCAGGAAAACAUUCCCCUGAGGGACUCGAGUGUCAGCACUGAGGUUCCUAGAAGAAGUUAGCCCACAGGGCAUUAGCUGCUCCCUAAGGUUCCUUCUUUUCUAGGAUUUCACAUUGCAGGGUAAAAGUAUAUGGAAAAACCUUAAGGCAAGGGUCUGGCUGGCUUCAGUGUGCGGAAGAGGGAAGGAGGACCAGUGGGGCAAGCCCUGAGAACAGCCUGUGGAGACCCAAAGGGUCUGCGGGGCAGCAAAGCAGCCGCCAGGAGCGAAGUGCAGCCACAGAAAUGAGCUUUUUGGGUGAAGAAUAGCAAGAGAAGCUCACGUGGGCAGCAGAGCCCAUCACAGCGGGUGCUCAGUGGGACAGAGCAGAGCCACCAGGAGUGCCUGGAAAGGACAUCAGUCUGCAAGAAGUCUGUGAGAGCAGAACGCACCGGAGAGGAGCUCUGCACAAAGUGCUGGCGGCCGCACAGCACGGAUCUGCAGGGCUGCUCUGCUGUCUGAGCACAGGGCUGGUCCUGGCCCGUGGCUCUGCUCCAGCUCCAGGCACACGGCGAGCAGAGCCCAAGGCACAGGUGAGGGUUGCUCAGGGGCCUGGCUGAUGGUAAGUGGCAUAUAAAGCACCUUCCCCCCACCCCCACCUUAAUCGGAGGAGUGACUGGGACCACCCUUUGAGCUGGUGGGUCUGAAGCAGGAGCCACAGAGCUUGAGCAGGCAUCAAUUCACUGGGACCGUGCUGGGAGACGGCUGUCAGGAAACCUUUCUUCUGCCCAAAGGACAACAGCUUUGGGGCCUGACCGUGAAAUUCCCAGUUCCUGGAAGCUCCCUGCAUCUCCUCUGCCAUCAAUCAUCCGUGGCAACAAAACCCAGGAAACCACUUAAUAAUCUCAAAUAAUCCCACAGGAAAAUUUACAACGGCAAUCUCAUACUUCAUCUGAUACAGGCCCUGCCCAGGCUCCUGAGGGCAGGGGAAUUCCCUCAAACAACCACAUCCAAGGAAAGCCUGUCCUUCAGUUUCCAGCUUCAGGGCUGCUUCACGCAGUCCCUAAAAUCACUGCUGUGUAGCACAGGUGAGCAGCCCCAGGUCCCGGGCAAUUGCUCCUUGCCAG
rnacentral:lncRNA from 1 species